UACGGAGGGAGCUAGCGUUAUUCGGAAUUACUGGGCGUAAAGCGCACGUAGGCGGCUUUGUAAGUUAGAGGUGAAAGCCUGGAGCUCAACUCCAGAACUGCCUUUAAGACUGCAUCGCUUGAAUCCAGGAGAGGUGAGUGGAAUUCCGAGUGUAGUGGUGAAAUUCGUAGAUAUUCGGAAGAACACCAGUGGCGAAGGCGGCUCACUGGACUGGUAUUGACGCUGAGGUGCGAAAGCGUGGGGAGCAAACAGG
rnacentral:rRNA from 1 species